rnacentral:rRNA from 1 species
GUGUCAGCCGCCGCGGUAAUACGUAGGUGGCAAGCGUUGUCCGGAUUUACUGGGCGUAAAGGAUGUGUAGGCGGAUAUUUAAGUGAGAUGUGAAAUCCCCGGGCUUAACUUGGGGGCUGCAUUUCAAACUGGAUGUCUGGAGUGCAGGAGAGGAAAGCAGAAUUCCGAGUGUAGCGGGGAAAUGCGUAGAGAUAUGUCAGAAAACCAGUGGCGAAGGAGGCUUUCAGGACUGUAAAUGA